UAUCAUUUAGAGGAAGGAGAAGUCGUAACAAGGUUUCGUAGGUGAACCUGCGGAAGGAUCAUUGUCGAAACCUACACAGCAGAACGACCCGCGAAUUGGUUACACCMCCGMMGGGGGGGGGGGGGCGGGGGGCAGAACGCGCUAAGGAAAUCGAACCCCGGUGCAGAACGCGCUAAGGAAAUCGAACCGAGAGAGCCAUGCCGGAGGCCCCGAACACGGUGCGUCUCCAGCGUCGGCAUCUUAUGAAUUAUUCAAAACAACUCUCAGCAACAGAUAUCUAGGCUCUCGCAUCGAUGAAGAACAUAGUGGAAUGUGAUACUUGGUGUGAAUUGCAAAAUCUCACAAAUCAUUGAGUUUUUGAACGCAAGUUGCGCCUGAAGCCAUUCGACUGAGGGCACAUCUGCCUGGGUGUCACACAUCGUUGCCCCCCAAACUCCGGUUCGAGCGGGGUGAAAGUUGGCCUCCCGUGCGUGCCUGCGCGUGUGGUUAACCCAAAAGCGAGUCCUCGAUGAUAAGCACCACGACAAUCGGUGGUUUUUUUUCCCUCGUUCCUCGUCGUGCGUGCCCCGUUGCCUGAACRCGCUCUUGCGACCCUCACCCGUCGCCUCAUUGGCGCUCCCAAUAUGACCCCAGGUCAGGUGGGACUACCCGCUGAGUUUAAGCAUAUCAAUAAGCGGAGGAAA
rnacentral:misc_RNA from 1 species